GAAAUGCGAUAAGUAAUGUGAAUUGCAGAAUUCAGUGAAUCAUCGAAUCUUUGAAGGCACAUUGCGCUCGCCAGUAUUCUGGCGAGCAUGCCUGUUCGAGCGUCAUUUCAACCAUCAAGCUCUGCUUGCGUUGGGGAUCCGCGGCUGCCCGCGGUCCCUCAAAAACAGUGGCGGGCUCGCUAGUCACACCGAGCGUAGUAACUCUACAUCGCUAUGGUCGUGCGGCGGGUUCUUGCCGUAAAACCCCCAAUUUCUAAGGUUGACCUCGGAUCAGGUAGGAAUACCCGCUGAACUUAAGC
rnacentral:misc_RNA from 1 species